CAGCAUUAAGAAUCAGUUCUAAGAGAUCAUUUAUGCAAAUAACAAAACAUCAUCAUGUGGUUAAUGCAUAAACCUCUAAUAUAGCUCUUUCAGGAAUUUCAUCAAACACUUUUGGUGCAUGAAAUUCCCAGAUUUUAGAUCACAAGUGAUGUGCAAGGAUCUAGCUUAGAGAACAGAUAUUUAGAGAGAUGAAAGCAUGGAUCUAGCCCUAAGCACUCCUAAUCUAAC
rnacentral:lncRNA from 1 species